GGGAAGAAAGGGCUGUUCAGAGCCUGUGCGCCCACGUGCUGGGCACGCUGGAUGUCUCUGCCGGAGCGGUGGCCAAACUCCUGUGGCCGAAGCUGCUGUGGUACGUGGUGCCAGCCAAGUACACGGGCAUGUUGGUCCCGCUCUGCCGCUGCCUGCGCAGCCUGGCCGAGAGACGGGACAGGGCAGAGCAGGAGCAAGAGGAGGCGGCGCCUGAGGCCCUGGAGUCUGAGGAGCCAGCCGCUCUGCCAGCUCCCCAGGCCCUGCUGGCUCGCCUGCUGGUGAGUAGCGGGGCCCCGGGGAAAGAACUUUUGUGGCUGGGGC